rnacentral:ncRNA from 2 species
GGAGGAACCUCUGGAGAGAACCGUUUAACCGGUCGCCGAAGGAGCAAAUCUCAUGCGUAUCAUGAGAUGAAACUUUCAGGCAAAAGGACAGAGGAGAGAAG